UCCUACGGGGCGCAGCAGUGAGGAAUAUUGGUCAAUGGGCGCGAGCCUGAACCAGCCAAGUCGCGUGAGGGAAGACGGUCCUAUGGAUUGUAAACCUCUUUUGUCGGGGAGCAAAAGACGCCACGCGUGGCGUUCCGAGAGUACCCGAAGAAAAAGCAUCGGCUAACUCCGUGCCAGCAGCCGCGGUAAUACGGAGGAUGCGAGCGUUAUCCGGAUUUAUUGGGUUUAAAGGGUGCGCAGGCGGAAGAUCAAGUCAGCGGUAAAAUUGAGAGGGUCAACCACUUCGAGCAGUUGAAACUGGGUUU
rnacentral:rRNA from 1 species